AGGAUUAACGCUGGCGGCGUGCUUAACACAUGCAAGUGGAGCGACGAACCAGGGCUUGCCCUGGGGCAGAGCCGCGAACGGGUGAGUAACACGUGGGUUACCUGCCUCGAUGACCGGGACAACCCGAGGAAACUCGGGCUAAUACCGGAUGUGCCCGUAAGGGGAAAGGAAGCUUCGGCCUCCGCAUCGAGAUGGGCCCGCGGCCCAUUAGCUUGUUGGUGAGGUAACGGCUCACCAAGGCUUUGAUGGGUAGCUGGUCUGAGAGGACGAUCAGCCACACUGGGACUGAGACACGGCCCAGACUCCUACGGGAGGCAGCAGUGGGGAAUCUUGCGCAAUGCGCGAAAGCGUGACGCAGCAACGCCGCGUGGGGGAAGAAGGCUUUCGGGUUGUAAACCCCUUUCAGUUGGGACGAAGCCUCAUCGGUUAAUAGCCGCGUGGGGUGACGGUACCUUCACAAGAAGCACCGGCUAACUACGCGCCAGCAGCCGCGGU
rnacentral:rRNA from 1 species